UACGGGGGGGGGCAAGCGUUGUUCGGAAUUACUGGGCGUAAAGGGCUCGUAGGCGGCCAGCUAAGUCAGACGUGAAAUCCCUCGGCUUAACCGGGGGAACUGCAUCUGAUACUGGAUGGCUUGAGUUCGGGAGAGGGAUGCGGAAUUCCAGGUGUAGCGGUGAAAUGCGUAGAUAUCUGGAGGAACACCGGUGGCGAAGGCGGCAUCCUGGACCGGGCACUGACGCUGAGGAGCGAAAGCCAGGGGAGCAAACGGGG
rnacentral:rRNA from 1 species